rnacentral:tRNA from 1 species
GGCGGCAUGGCCAAGUGGCUAAGGCGACGGUCUGCAAAACCGGUAUCGGCGGUUCAAAUCCGCCUGCCGCCUCCA